UGCAAUUUUAAUAGAUUUAGUGAAACAAAGUAAACUUUUCACUUCACAUUGAUCAAUCAAUGAGUAGUAAAUAAUAUUAGUCACACAGUUUCAAAAUUAAACUGUCGCCUGCAUUGAAAUUUUAAUGAAUUUUCGAAAGUCUUUCUCGAUAUAUAUUGUGUGUGCGUGGCAUGUAUUUCAUGUAUCAAAGUUGCAAUUAAAUUGUAGAAAACUGCUGAGAAGCAUGUGUGCGUGCUCGCCUUAGCGAUUGCCAUCGAUUUAAAGCCAAUUUGCGUGCUAACAAGGGCCGCCCCAGCUGGCAGGCAGGCAGCUGUUCUUUGGACUAUGGAAAUGAAGUGCAAGGCUCGCAGACUUUGGUUUAUGCUAAGGACUAACUGCAAAAACAUAUCUAUCUCCUGGAACCAUAGAUGACAUCAGCGAUAGUAUCGAUGGUCAUUCAUGUUUGCGAUUGAUCGAUAAACUCAGUGCGAUUGGUAUGUCAUCUCGAUUUUCAUAUAUCUUAAUAGAUAGCUGCAACAACUUUGUUUUAGGGAUCAAAAUUAAUAAAAUUAAAAGAGUAUUUUGUCUAAUAAA